ACGAACGCUGGCGGCGUGCCUCAUACAUGCAAGUAGAACGCUGAAGAGAGGAGCUUACUCUUCUUGGAUGAGUUGCGAACGGGUGAGUAACGCGUAGGUAACCUGCCUUGUAGCGGGGGAUAACUAUUGGAAACGAUAGCUAAUACCGCAUAACAAUGGAUGACACAUGUCAUUUAUUUGAAAGGGGCAAUUGCUCCACUACAAGAUGGACCUGCGUUGUAUUAGCUAGUAGGUGAGGUAAUGGCUCACCUAGGCGACGAUACAUAGCCGACCUGAGAGGGUGAUCGGCCACACUGGGACUGAGACACGGCCCAGACUCCUACGGGAGGCAGCAGUAGGGAAUCUUCGGCAAUGGGGGCAACCCUGACCGAGCAACGCCGCGUGAGUGAAGAAGGUUUUCGGAUCGUAAAGCUCUGUUGUAAGUCAAGAACGGGUGUGAGAGUGGAAAGUUCACACUGUGACGGUAGCUUACCAGAAAGGGACGGCUAACUACGUG
rnacentral:rRNA from 1 species